GCCUGGCUGGCUCAGUUGGUAGAGUGUGUGACUCUUGAUCUUGGGGUCGUGGGUUCGAGCCCCACCCUGGGUG